GUACUGUGAAUGCCACCGCUACAAAAUUUUAUGACCGCAAAGUGGCUUGGAUAAACAGGGGCUUUGCCUCUUCCCUUCACCGGCACAAGGUGGCAGCAGUGAGUCAGGAUAUUUGUCAGUUUAAUCCUCUUUGCUUGACUUUUACACUACAGAACAUGAAAUGACAGAAACAGCGCAUGGUGUUAAAUGUCCCACUACAGCAUCAAUAGUACAGGAAAAACACCAGUUCUAUCUUUUUCAGAUUUAGCGGAAAAGGUGUUUGACAGGUCUAUUUUCCACUUGAUGGCAUGGUUUACCCCAUCUGCUGUGUGCUGUCCACAAGCUGAAUUUGCACCAAGAGAGUUGCUUUUGAAGGGCUUCAGGGAUCGACCGGCAUCCUUCUGUUGGCUGUGCUGAUCAUCAUAUUGUAUCGCUGUCCCUCAGCGGAGGCUUCACUGUGUCAUUAGUUAUAAGUGCAUUAAAAUGACAAAGAUCCAGUCUUUGUUUUCCUUUUGCUGAAGGAUCUGGAGACAAUCAUAUCCUUGGCGCAAACGAUUUCCUGGCAACAGAGAUCAGAGUUCAGCAUUCUGGCGUAAUCACAGAUCACAUCUUGUUAUGCCUAGUGGACACUGAAAGAUGCUGGAGGCUCGCUCAUCUUUCUUGUGGAGGGAGACAAAGAUCUGACUUUAAAAAGCAGGAAGACCUCACAGCAGCGGUGACAAAUCCUCUGACACAGAAAUCACUGUGGUACAGUUUAAGGACUGUAAAUGAAGUCUUUGAGUCUUCAGAAAAUGGAAUUACAACAAGCUGAGAAACAAUGCCAAGAAAAAAAAAAGUCCUGGAGACAAUGAAGGCAGUGGUGAAUUUCCUAAGCAAUCAGGACUAACGCUUCCUGGCAGAUGCUGAUACACAGAGCAGGGUGUGACGGCGGCCCGCUCCAUCACUCAUCUCCAUCCACACGCAUCAGUUCAGUCCUCAUGACGCUCAGAGAUGAGAAAUAAUUAAUUCAACAGCUACUGAAGCACAGAAUCACAUCCAUUCUGACUGCCACUGG